rnacentral:rRNA from 1 species
CCUACGGGGUGCAGCAGUGGGGGAUAUUGCACAAUGGGGGGAACCCUGAUGCAGCGACGCCGCGUGGGUGAAGAAGCGCCUCGGCGCGUAAAGCCCUGUCAGCAGGGAAGAAAAUGACGGUACCUGAAGAAGAAGCCCCGGCUAACUACGUGCCAGCAGCCGCGGUAAUACGUAGGGGGCAAGCGUUAUCCGGAUUUACUGGGUGUAAAGGGGGCGCAGACGGCGUUGAAAGCCAGGAGGAAAAGCCCGGGGCCCAACCCCGGGACUGCUCUUGGAAUGGCGUGGCUGGGGUGGAGGGGGGGAGGCGGAAGUCCUGGUGUAGCGGUGAAAUGCGUAGAUAUCAGGAGGAACACCGGUGGCGAAGGCGGCCUGCUGGACUGCAACUGACGUUGAGGCCCGAAAGCGUGGGGAGCAAACAGGAUUAGAUACCCUUGUAGUC